GCACAUGGCAUGAUUCUACUUCCUGGCUCCCAUGGAGCUUAUGUACCAGUAAGGAAGCGUCUCAUUUAUAAGGGAGCAACUGGAAAUAUAGAAUUGGAGUUCAUUGUGACGCAGAUUUGGGAAUUUCAGGCCACAAGCAGCAGUUAUGGCCCAGGAAUGACUGAUUUUCCAAAGGGGUAAAAUGACAAGGAAAGAGAUGAAGACUUCUUCCAGGAUCCUGAGGUGCUUCAUUGUCUCCAGAGAGGCCCCAUCCCACACCCCUCAGUCACUCAUAUCUGGACACAUCGGACCUUGUCAGCAUCAAUAAUGGACAUACCUCUGAUAUUUGAACUUUGAAUCUCACUCUGUGACCAUGACUUUGUAUCUUUCUAAGUCUUUAAUCUUCAGCCUCACAGAACUCUUCGUACUCUAAAAUAUAGUAUUUUCACCUGGUCUGUCAUCCUCUUUAGUGCCUUCAUUUUUUUUUUUCCUCACCAAGACUGGUUCCCAUGGUGAUAUCAUGAAUGACUUUACCACUAAUAACCAAACUUGCAUGUGUUCCCCCUUCCUAACAUGCUUGUCCAGCAACUACUUCAAUCCAUUCUACAGUCCACCCCUACUGUCUCCCUACACUGAGGAGAAAGCAUGAGAGUGUAAAUGUAAGGUUUCCAGUGUGAGCUGGGGGCUGAGUGCCUCAUUUACUUACUCAUUUAAUGCGUGUAUACUGAGUGCCAACUGCAUCAGGCACUGAGCUAGACACUAUGAUAUGUUGGUGAACAAUCCAUACAAGAAGUCCUGCCUGUGCAGAGUUGAUAUUCUAGAGGGGAGAGAUAUACAAUAAACAGAAAAGUAAAAUAUACA
rnacentral:lncRNA from 13 species